GACGAACGCUGGCGGCGUGCCUAAUACAUGCAAGUAGAACGCUGAAGGAGGAGCUUGCUCUUCUGGAUGAGUUGCGAACGGGUGAGUAACGCGUAGGUAACCUGCCUGGUAGCGGGGGAUAACUAUUGGAAACGAUAGCUAAUACCGCAUAAAAUUGAUUAUUGCAUGAUAGUCAAUUAAAAGGUGCAAUUGCAUCACUACCAGAUGGACCUGCGUUGUAUUAGCUAGUUGGUGAGGUAACGGCUCACCAAGGCAACGAUACAUAGCCGACCUGAGAGGGUGAUCGGCCACACUGGGACUGAGACACGGCCCAGACUCCUACGGGAGGCAGCAGUAGGGAAUCUUCGGCAAUGGACGGAAGUCUGACCGAGCAACGCCGCGUGAGUGAAGAAGGUUUUCGGAUCGUAAAGCUCGGUUGUAAGAGAAGAACGAGUGUGAGAGUGGAAAGUUCACACUGUGACGGUAUCUUACCAGAAAGAGACGGCUAACUACGUG
rnacentral:rRNA from 1 species